rnacentral:rRNA from 1 species
CCCGUCACAUCACGAAAGUGAGUUGUACUAGAAGUCGUCACGCUGACCGCAAGGAGGCAGACGCCCAAGGUAUGACUCAUGAUUGGGUG